rnacentral:rRNA from 1 species
UACAGAGGGUGCAAGCGUUGUUCGGAAUUAUUGGGCGUAAAGGGCGCGUAGGCGGUGCGGUAAGUCUGUAGUGAAAUCUCUGGGCUCAACUCAGAGUCUGCUAUAGAAACUGCCGUGCUUGAGUGUGGGAGAGGUGAGUGGAAUUCCCGGUGUAGCGGUGAAAUGCGUAGAUAUCGGAAGGAACACCUGUGGCGAAAGCGGCUCACUGGACCAUAACUGACGCUGAGGCACGAAAGCUAGGGGAGCAAACAGG